rnacentral:rRNA from 1 species
UACGAAGGGGGCUAGCGUUGUUCGGAAUCACUGGGCGUAAAGGGCGCGUAGGCGGAUUGUUAAGUCGGGGGUGAAAUCCUGGAGCUCAACUCCAGAACUGCCUUCGAUACUGGCGAUCUUGAGUCCGGGAGAGGUGAGUGGAACUCCGAGUGUAGAGGUGAAAUUCGUAGAUAUUCGGAAGAACACCAGUGGCGAAGGCGGCUCACUGGCCCGGUACUGACGCUGAGGUGCGAAAGCGUGGGGAGCAAACAGG